UGCAAGCGUUUUCAAUAGUUUUCAUGUAUAAAUGCCUUUUUUGACUCCACAUUUCAGUAAUUUUAAUAUUUUCUUUCACCCAAUUUUCAGCUAACAUGUCCAUAUGAGCCGAAGUCAGACAAUUCAGGCGCACCUCAUACACUAGUGGGUAAAUUCCAUCCAUCUAUUUUUCUGAGCUGAAAUUUAAUGCUUUUAAAUUAUUUUGGUCAAUGAAGUUAACUAAGGACCGAUUCUAGAAAAAUCUUUUUUUGGGGGGGGCUGCUUUUAACCCGUGAUUUGAGUGGACUGUGCAAGCACACAGGGCGCAACUGGAGCAGUUCAUAGUGUUUGCCCUGCUCAAGGACAUCACGGUUGUGGGUUGAUUGACGAUUGCCUCAUCCUCACCAGAGGGAUAUUCGUGAGUGGUGUAACGGCUGUUGGCAGAAAGUGGCAGCCUCUCCCACUGCUGGCUGUGGAACACGCACUCUGACCUUCAGGGACAACUGAAUAGGCAAUUAGAAGCUCGUUAGAAAGCCCAAAGAGCUCGUCAAGGUUUUCACCUGGGAUGGGCAGACUGGUCAGAACAGGCCUCACCUUGAGUCACCGCAGGCAAGCACACAAAUGCUUGAUUGUCAUGCGUGUACCCUAGCAAGGAGUGAGACUGGAACUCUGGCCCCUUACCGCAUCUUAAGCACGUGAUCAUCAGUGCAAACUAUUGCCGUGCAAAAACAAACAAACAAACAAAAAACAAUCCGCCAUAUCUCCAAAAACGACAGAUGCUGCGGGCAGUAGUGCAUGCAGUUCAACUCUGUUGUUAGCAAAAUUCCACACCUGCUCUACAUAGCGGGAUCUUCACAGUUUUUCCUCCGAACGGGUUGGAUCCUUUUUUUUUUGUAAUUCUUUGGUGGGUGAAAAUUGCCAUAUUGCACGGAUGGCUAAGCACGUGGGCAGUGGUGCAGUGACAGGUGCUGUAUGAAUGGGGCGGAUUUUGAGGUCACGUGGCAACGCUUCCUCAUAAAUCAUCCACUGAGCUGUGCAGGAUGAGGGACUGGAACCCGAAUGGAGCAGAGACCAUACCGAGGUACUUCGACCCUACUCGAGUACAUCACGCAUAAGGAUGACUGGGAUCAGGGGUCUGCAUGUAAAUAUCCCCCCGCCCCCAAUGAAGUGAGUUCAGAACAAAGACGGAGCGGAUCUGGCCCAGAGAAAGACAGCAGCGCUACCAGCAGCAAAAGAAAAAGGAAAGUUAUGAACCACACUGGAUUUAACAAAGGAGAUAAUCACCAAGUAUGAAAAUGGGAUCCCAGGAUGUGCAAUAUUGUCUGCUUCUACUACUUCUUGAUGGCCUCGCUGUGCUGAUGCUGCUACGUAAACAACAGUUUAGUUGGAAACGGAGCAACAGCUGUGUGGACAUAUAAAGAACAAAUCUUCCAUGAUUGCAUCCAUCCAGCCGUUAGUACGCCGCCUCCAGUGAGAGACCAUAGUUUACCUCCAUGGCUCCUGUCUGAUCUCUGAACCACCAAGCGUGUGCAGAUUGAGGUGCGCCUGACAACUGACACCCGAGCCGUCUGUCUGGAGCUAUUUUACCACCAAAACCAGACUCUCCAGCACCUGAGUAUUGCUCAACUGUCUGACCCCGUCGUGCGUUUGAGAGGCCUGUACCCAUGCUUUAUUUCCUCAGUCCAUCAGCGGAUGGACGGACACACAUGCGUCGGCGGUGACAGGUAACCACGCAAUUAUUUUUCCUCCAUCCAUCACAGGAAGGAGGGCACAGGGCAGCGGCAUUUGAAUCGGGGCUUUUGAUAAAUAGCCUGUGUCGCCUUGUAUCUCUGUCAGGCCCACCUGAAGUCUGCUGCAACACUUAUCUGCCUGUUUUCUUGACUUUAUCGUGCCAUCUUUUACUCCCACAUUGAUUUAGCGGCCGGCUCUUCCAACACGCGUGUGCUUUGAUACGAUCCUCGCUUCAUGCAAUAAACUAGUAUAUUGUGUAUCAACUGGCCACAGCAUUAGGUACACCUCCACUCUGUAAUGCCAUUCUUUUUAACUACAGAGGAGGAGCAAACAAUUACAUACACCACUCAAGAUGAUUCAGUUCAAAAU